rnacentral:lncRNA from 1 species
GAGAGUCUGGAGCAGAGACAAUUUUAACUUAGCCAUUCCUAAUUUAUCUCAAGCAUAUUCAAUUCAUCUUUACUGCUCUAUGCACACAGGAACACCAGAUUGCCAUCCCUGGGGAACAGAAUGCAACCGGGGAUCUAGAGAGCUGUCACAUUCCAAGAAAUAUUUAAAUUGUGCUGAUUUUCUUCUGGAGAACUGAGCCCAGGGAAUGAAACUCUCCAUCAAGUCAUAGCUUUGCGGGCAAUAGAUCAGAGGAUAUUGCCAGUUUUCUAAUGGAUUAUUGUUAUCGGGCAGGUUUUCUCUGAAGGAGUCACGGAGAAGGAGAUAUCUAAAGUGAUAUUUGUUGGCCGCCCCGUAACUGGACCGAUGGCGAUAUUAGACAGUUCCAGAAGAGUAAGGAGCAUGUAAACGUACCUGAGGGACUGGAGAUCAGCCAGAUCAGUCGUAUGCACAAAGCCACUUUGGGUCUGUCUUUUCAAACAAGAGCUGCAGAAAACGUUAUAGCAAGGUCGAAGCUUUAUUCCACUCUGACUCACCCAGAAAGCACAACCCUGAUUUUGCAUAAGAACAGCUAUCAACAGACCCUAAAACGUGAGUCCUAUUGGUUUGUGCUAUUGAAUUCUACUUUGCUAUAUAAAUGAUCUUGUGAUAAGAUAUGGCUUUUAUUUCAUAAUUAAAAUCUUGACCAAGUAUAAAUGUAGACUGUAAGAAGUGCAGAAAGGAAGAAUUGAUAUGUUUGUUACAUUCUUUAGUUUAAAAGAUUCUAGUAGUUAGUAGCUACUUAACUCUGAAGCAGAUAUUGUGCUAUUCAUUGAUAGUUGUUUUAAAGCAGAUAGCUUUACAGAGUUUUGAUGUUCCAAUUUCUUUAUGGUUGAUAAAAAUAUAUAAAUAUAAUAUUCCUUACAACUAAGCAUUUCCAUGCUAUUUUGUACAUGAUUUACUUUUCUAUGAUCAAUAUCCCUAAGUAUUUAGAGCAUGUAUUUAGCAUCUCAGUUUUUCUCGGAGAUUUUACAAAUGGAAUAAGUGCUGGGUCAAAGACAAAAGGCUUGGUGCACUUUUCUUCUCAGUUCUAUCACAGAUCUGACUUUUAGCUACUUAAUAAUUUUUGGUAUCUCUUCUCUCUGGCCUCUGAUAAGUUGUCUUUGAUAACCUGCUGUUUUGUUCUUGAGCUUUGCCAUGGCUACAACUCUGGGGUAUCAGAACUGUCAAAAAUAAAAGUAAAAGAGCAAGAAUCGUGGAGCUUAUGAAAGUUAGAGAAGACAUAAGGCCUGGUAUCGACAGAUGAAUUUUCCACUGGCAGGUAGUUUUCACUUUAUCCCAUUUGCUGUCACAGUACACAGUACCUGAAAUAAUAAGGGGAUUUUUUUUUCCCGAAUAAUGGACGAUAGGGGCUGUUUGCUUUGUGAGAAUCUGCCAAGGCAGCAUGCCAUGUGGCUUUAUCUUUGAAAGUGAGGGUAAAACAAGCUUGCUGAGCUGCAGAUAAGGGACUUAGAAGGAAUUCUAUUCAGAUGUACCUGUCACUAAUUUAUCUGGAGGUUUUGUGAUUCAUACAUACUGCUCUAUGUGCGAUGAGGCAUUAAAUUGGUUUCCUCUGGGAGCAGGUCACAUUCAGGGGUCCUCAGACCUACGCUUGUGGUAUGGUGCAUGCCUGAUUCAUAUAGCCUAUUGCUACUCAAUUUUUAUCUAUUAGAGAGCUGGUAAGUUGAACAUAUGUUAGAUGAUCUCUUGGAACAUUUCAACAGCAAAGGGAGAUUGACAGAAACUUAACUAUCUAUUAAUAUGCACAUGUUUCUAACAAAAAUUAAUCAAACUUUCUGAUGUUAGUACAUUUAUUAUGAUAAUUAAGUAGUUAUACAUAUGUUUCCCAAUAACGGCCUAGCUCUUUAUGAAUGCAUUUCCAUAGCUCCUUUAUUUAUUGGAACAAAGGGAUAUGUACUUAAGUGCAUUAUUUUAUCCUGGAAAAAAAAAUGCAGAGCUGAUUUGAAACAGGUUUCACGAAAGGAAAAAUUUCAGAAAACAUAUAGAGUUUUCCCAUUUACAUUAUAGUUUUCUACUGUGGCAAUUCUGCUUCAUUACUCAAUAUAUUUUGAAAAAAAUGUCAUACCUUAGAAAAUGAAAUAGAUACUGGUUCAAAUUUGAAAGGAAUAUAAAUGGAAGAGAUGCUUAUUUAUUGUUAACAUUGUGCUGAGAGGUUUUUACACUGACCUCUUUUUUUUUUGGAUGUGAGAUAUUUUAGCAAAUGCAAAAAAAAAAAAAAAA